rnacentral:tRNA from 1 species
GCCUGGGUGGCUGAGUGGGUUAAAGCCUCUGCCUUCAGCUCAGGUCAUGGUCUCAGGGUCCUGGGAUCAAGUCCCACAUCAGGCU